UGGGUAGCCGGCCUGAGAGGGUGAACGGCCACAAGGGGACUGAGACACGGCCCUUACUCCUACGGGAGGCAGCAGUGGGGAAUAUUGGACAAUGGACCAAAAGUCUGAUCCAGCAAUUCUGUGUGCACGAUGACGUUUUUCGGAAUGUAAAGUGCUUUCAGUCGGGAAGAAGCAAGUGACGGUACCGACAGAAGAAGCGACGGCUAAAUACGUGCCAGCAGCCGCGGUAAUACGUAUGUCGCAAGCGUUAUCCGGAUUUAUUGGGCGUAAAGCGCGUCUAGGCGGCAAGGAAAGUCUGAUGUGAAAAUGCGGGGCUCAACUCCGUAUUGCGUUGGAAACUGCCUUACUAGAGUACUGGAGAGGUAGGCGGAACUACAAGUGUAGAGGUGAAAUUCGUAGAUAUUUGUAGGAAUGCCGAUGGGGAAGCCAGCCUACUGGACAGAUACUGACGCUAAAGCGCGAAAGCGUGGGUAGCAAACAGGAUUAGAUACCCUGGUAGUCCACGCUGUAAACGAUGAUUACUAGGUGUUGGGGGUCGAACCUCAGCGC
rnacentral:rRNA from 1 species